rnacentral:rRNA from 1 species
ACAGAUCGUUCAGAGUUUGAUCCUGGCUCAGGACGAACGCUGGCGGCGUGCCUAACACAUGCAAGUCGAGCGGAGCCAUCCAAAUGAUCCCUUCGGGGUGAAUUUGGGGAGGCUUAGCGGCGGACGGGUGAGUAACGCGUGAGUAACCUGCCCAUAAGAGGGGAAUAACACAGCGAAAGUUGUGCUAAUACCGCAUAAUGUAUUUUUACCGCAUGAUAGAAAUACCAAAGAUUUAUCGCUUAUGGAUGGACUCGCGUCUGAUUAGAUAGUUGGUGAGGUAACGGCUCACCAAGUCGACGAUCAGUAGCCGAACUGAGAGGUUGAUCGGCCACAUUGGGACUGAGACACGGCCCAG